rnacentral:rRNA from 1 species
GAUGAACGCUGGCGGCGUGCUUAACACAUGCAAGUCGACAUGAGUGGCGAACGGGUGAGUAAUGCCUAGGAAUCUGCCUGGUAGUGGGGGAUAACGACCGGAAACGGGAGCUAAUACCGCAUACUAUCGGAUGAGCCUAGGUCGGCUUAGCUAGUUGGUGGGGUAAAGGCUCACCAAGGCGACGAUCCGUAACUGGUCUGAGAGGAUGAUCAGUCACACUGGAACUGAGACACGGUCCAUACUCCUACGGGAGGCAGCAGUGGGGAAUAUUGGACAAUGGGCGAAAGCCUGAUCCAGCCAUGCCGCGUGUGUUAAGAAGGUCUUCGGAUUGUAAAGCACUUUAAGUUGGGAGGCGUUACCAACAGAAUAAGCACCGGCUAACUUCGUGCCAGCAGCCGCGGUAAUAC